rnacentral:rRNA from 1 species
UACGUAGGGGGCUAGCGUUGUCCGGAUUUAUUGGGCGUAAAGAGCGUGUAGGCGGCCUGGUAGGUCUGCUGUGAAAACUCGAGGCUCAACCUCGAGAUGUCGGCGGAAACCACUUGGCUAGAGUCCGGAAGAGGAGAGUGGAAUUCCCGGUGUAGCGGUGAAAUGCGCAGAUAUCGGGAGGAACACCAGUGGCGAAGGCGACUACCUGGCCUGUUCUUGACGCUGAGGCGCGAAAGCUAGGGGAGCAAACGGG